rnacentral:misc_RNA from 1 species
UGGUAUACUGAUGUAGGUCCUUCUAUGCGUUUUGAUACUGAUGAAGAAAAAGUCAAAGAAAUGCCAAUGCCUUCAAUGCCAUAUGAUUGUUAUCGGAGGAGGGUAGCAUAUUUUGGCGAGUCUAGAAGGCAUUUGCGUCUGGUUGAGAUUCAUAAUCGAACCUCUACGCAAUUCAAUGUGUGUGAGAUGGAGAGAGACCACUCAAGAUGGUUCGUCAAGCACCGUGUUA